GGCUCAGGACGAACGCUGGCGGCGUGCUUAACACAUGCAAGUCGAGCGGUAAGGCCCUUCGGGGUACACGAGCGGCGAACGGGUGAGUAACACGUGAGCAAUCUGCCCUGCACUUUGGGAUAACCACCGGAAACGGUGGCUAAUACCGGAUAUGACUGCGCCUCGCAUGGGGUGUGGUGGAAAGUUCUGGCGGUGAGGAUGAGCUCGCGGCCUAUCAGCUUGUUGGUGAGGUAAUGGCUCACCAAGGCUUCGACGGGUAGCCGGCCUGAGAGGGUGACCGGCCACACUGGGACUGAGACACGGCCCAGACUCCUACGGGAGGCAGCAGUGGGGAAUAUUGGACAAUGGGCGAAAGCCUGAUCCAGCAACGCCGCGUGAGGGAUGACGGCCUUCGGGUUGUAAACCUCUUUCAGCGCAGACGAAGCGAAAGUGACGGUAUGCGCAGAAGAAGCACCGGCCAACUACGUGCCAGCAGCCGCGGUAAU
rnacentral:rRNA from 1 species